rnacentral:rRNA from 1 species
GGCCCGCACAAGCGGUGGAUGAUGUGGAUUAAUUCGAUGCAACGCGAAGAACCUUACCUACCCUUGACAUGGCAGGAACUUGCCAGAGAUGGCUUGGUGCCCGAAAGGGAACCUGCACACAGGUGCUGCAUGGCUGUCGUCAGCUCGUGUCGUGAGAUGUUGGGUUAAGUCCCGCAACGAGCGCAACCCUUGUCAUUAGUUGCUACGAAAGGGCACUCUAAUGAGACUGCCGGUGACAAAACCGGAGGAAGGUGGGGAUGACGUCAAGUCCUCAUGGCCCUUAUGGGUAGGGCUUCACACGUCAUACAAUGGUCGGUACAGAGGGUUGCCAACCCGCGAGGGGGAGCCAAUCCCACAAAGCCGAUCGUAGUCCGGAUCGUAGUCUGCAACUCGACUACGUGAAGUCGGAAUCGCUAGUAAUCGCAGGUCAGCAUACUGCGGUGAAUACGUU